rnacentral:lncRNA from 1 species
CUGCAAAAGAAGCGGAAAAUCCUACUAGUGUUUUAAUGGAUCCACAUCCACCACAAGAGGAUGAAUUUACUCAGGUGAAAAGAUCUGUAUCUUUAGGAUCCAUACCUGAAGUAAAAGUUAGCAAUAAUAUUAAUAUUGUCACGGGUCCUAGGAUCCACCACAAGAGGAUGAAUUUACUCAGCUCAUGAAAAGAUCUGUAUCUUUAGGAUCUAUACCCGAAGUAAAAGUUAGCAAUAAUAUUAAUAUUGUCACUGGUCCUAGACCAAUUAGUCGUGCUUCAUCAGUCAUCUUCUCUGAUGCUGGAUCAGGUCCCAUCGAACCGUCCUCAUUUGAUCUUGUUGAAAA